UCUCCGGAGUCCCUGAUUUCACGCUGCCAAGAAAAGCCUCUAGCGAGGCGGGAGGUGCCCGUACCGCAAACCGACACAGGUAGGCGAGAAGAGAAUUCUAAGGUGAGCGAGUGAACUCUCGUUAAGGAACUCGGCAAAAUGACCCCGUAACUUCGGGAGAAGGGGUGCUCUGGUAGGGUGAAUAGCCCGAGAGAGCCGCAGUGAAUAGGCCCAGGCGACUGUUUAGCAAAAACACAGGUCUCUGCAAAACCGUAAGGUGACGUAUAGGGGCUGACGCCUGCCCGGUGCUGGAAGGUUAAGGGGAGUGCUUAGCGCAAGCGAAGGUGCGAACUGAAGCCCCAGUAAACGGCGGCCGUAACUAUAACGGUCCUAAGGUAGCGAAAUUCCUUGUCGGGUAAGUUCCGACCCGCACGAAAGGCGUAACGAUCUGGGCACUGUCUCAACGAGAGACUCGGUGAAAUUAUAGUACCUGUGAAGAUGCAGGUUACCCGCGACAGGACGGAAAGACCCCGUGGAGCUUUACUGUAGCCUGAUAUUGACUUUUGGUGCAACUUGUACAGGAUAGGUAGGAGCCAGAGAACCCGGAGCGCCAGCUUCGGGGGAGGCGUCGGUGGGAUACUACCCUGGUUGUAUUGAAAGUCUAACCCACAUCCCUGAUCGGGGUGGGAGACAGUGUCAGGCGGGCAGUUUGACUGGGGCGGUCGCCUCCUAAAGAGUAACGGAGGCGCCCAAAGGUUCCCUCAGAAUGGUUGGAAAUCAUUCGCAGAGUGUAAAGGCACAAGGGAGCUUGACUGCGAGACGUACAGGUCGAGCAGGGUCGAAAGACGGGCUUAGUGAUCCGGUGGUUCCGCAUGGAAGGGCCAUCGCUCAACGGAUAAAAGCUACCCCGGGGAUAACAGGCUUAUCUCCCCCAAGAGUCCACAUCGACGGGGAGGUUUGGCACCUCGAUGUCGGCUCAUCGCAUCCUGGGGCUGUAGUCGGUCCCAAGGGUUGGGCUGUUCGCCCAUUAAAGCGGUACGCGAGCUGGGUUCAGAACGUCGUGAGACAGUUCGGUCCCUAUCCGUCGCGGGCGCAGGAAAUUUGAGAGGAGCUGUCCUUAGUACGAGAGGACCGGGAUGGACACACCGCUGGUGUACCAGUUGUUCCGCCAGGGGCAUCGCUGGGUAGCUAUGUGUGGCCGGGAUAAGUGCUGAAAGCAUCUAAGCACGAAGCCCCCCUCAAGAUGAGAUUUCCCAUUGCGCAAGCAAGUAAGAUCCCUCAAAGACGAUGAGGUAGAUAGGUUCGGGGUGGACGCGUGGCGACACGUGCAGCUGACGAAUACUAAUCGAUCGAGGACUUAACCAA
rnacentral:rRNA from 1 species